UACGGAGGGAGCUAGCGUUGUUCGGAAUUACUGGGCGUAAAGGGCGCGUAGGCGGCCUUCUAAGUCGAACGUGAAAUCCCUGGGCUCAACCCAGGAACUGCGUCCGAUACUGGAAGGCUUGAAUCCGGGAGAGGGAUGCGGAAUUCCAGGUGUAGCGGUGAAAUGCGUAGAUAUCUGGAGGAACACCGGUGGCGAAGGCGGCAUCCUGGACCGAGAUUGACGCUGAGGCGCGAAAGCCAGGGGAGCAAACGGG
rnacentral:rRNA from 1 species